rnacentral:rRNA from 1 species
UACGUAGGGUGCGAGCGUUAAUCGGAAUUACUGGGCGUAAAGCGUGCGCAGGCGGUGAUGUAAGACAGAUGUGAAAUCCCCGGGCUCAACCUGGGAACUGCAUUUGUGACUGCAUCGCUGGAGUGCGGCAGAGGGGGAUGGAAUUCCGCGUGUAGCAGUGAAAUGCGUAGAUAUGCGGAGGAACACCGAUGGCGAAGGCAAUCCCCUGGGCCGCACUGACGCUCAUGCACGAAAGCGUGGGGAGCAAACAGG